GUAUAGAUAUAAAUAUAGUAUAGAUAUCGGAUGUCGAUCUUGGUGCAUCACUCGGACUCCACUUUUCGAGCAAUUUGGAAGCUCACCAAAAGAUAUUGUCAUUUAGAUUGUGCAGCAUCUAGCAUUAGUAAUCUAUAUUAUAUAUAUUAAAAUGAAGACAUUAGUCUCCAUCCUCCACGUGUGUAGUUUUUAUCAAGCACCAUUCGCUAUGUCUCCUCGCUACCCAUAACUUGAAAACCCACGAUGAUGGAUUUUUUGUGCUUCUGCAUUUGACACAUGGAGAGGGGAAGAAUUAUUGUCGUUGUUCUUGGUGUUGGUGAUCGUCGAGGGUAAGAUGGCGGGCG
rnacentral:lncRNA from 1 species